ACGCUCCCGCCUGCCCGUGUGUGCGGGCCGCCCGCGAUUUACACACACAAUAGACAGCAAAUUAAUGCCUACAUAUCUUAUACAAUAGGUUCAAUCUACUUAUCCGUGGGUACAUAUUAUUAGAAGUUAAAUUAAAAUAAAAUAAAAGCAAUAACAAGAUAGUAAUACUUACAUCUACAACAUGUACUCACAGUCACCACUACUAGCAAAGUGUUUUUUGAUCGAUAAGAUGAAGUUUUUGUCGUUUAGGUAACUUUGUGUGGUAUCAUUAUUCAAAUCAUUUAAUAAGUUGAAGUUACUCUUUACCAACUUCUUUCAAAGUACCUACUUAUAACAAACAUUUUUAUUAUUUGUUUGGAUUGUAUUUGUGAUGGCGCAUAUAGUAUUAAUUGCGUUGGAGGAAAACGAAAGGCUAAAAA